rnacentral:rRNA from 1 species
GAGUUUAUCCUGGCUCAGAAUCAACGGCUGCGGCGUCCUAACACAUGCAAGUCGAACGAGAAAGGGAGCAAUCCCUGAGUAAAGUGCGACCGGGUGAGUAACACGUACUUAACCUACCCUUGAGUGGGGAAUAACCCCGGGAAACCGGGGCUAAUACCGCAUAACAUCCUUGGGGUGCAGGUCCCGAGGAUCAAAGGAGCAAUUCGCUUAAGGAGGGGGUCGCGGCUGAUUAGCUAGUUGGCGGGGUAGCGGCCCACCAAGGCUGAGAUCGGUAGCCGGCCUGAGAGGGCGCACGGCCACACUGGAACUGAAACACGGUCCAGACUCCUACGGGAGGCAGCAGUGGGGAAUUUUGCGCAAUGGGGGGAACCCUGACGCAGCAACGCCGCGUGGAGGAUGAAGUCCCUUGGGACGUAAACUCCUUUCGACCGGGAAGAUAAUGACGUACCG